UAGAGUUGUUGUUGUUGUUGUUGUCAAUGAACAACAAUGUUUAGCCAGUCCUCGAUAAUCAGUAUUAGGCAAAAACCUCCGAAGAAACGAUAACAUGUUAAAAUGAAGUGCUCUAUACGUUAGUGCUCUAAGUAAGGCAUAGCUUUUGUGACGCGGCAGUCCUUUGUUCAGACCUACGGAAAGGACCUUUUGAUAUUUAGUUAUGAGAACAGUAAAAAAGUAAGUUAUUCGUUUCAAACGUACGCCUCUGCUGAUCGCGUCAGUGUUCUAGAGUUAGUUGACAUAAGAUGUAACUCCAGCAUAACAAUUGGUCGUUUCGUAGAAGAUCGCUACCGGCGGAGUAGUUUGUGCUGUAUGAGUCGUUUGAUACCCUUCAGGAUUUUUUUAGGAGACAAGGAGGUGAAGCCGAAAUUUCCGGCUGAUACGGACCUGCCGGCAUCUGAGGGGGAAGAGCACAGAGCUGC